ACUCCAAACCUGAAAUACACAGUUUGAAUAAAUAAACUCUGGGUCCCUUUGGAUGUGACUUAAGUUGUAUUUAGGACAGAAAGAAUAAGUGUGAUUGCACAGGAGGUUAAAAAAAAAGAAAAAAAAAAAAAAAACAAACUGUGUUUGAAGAUUU